ensembl:ncRNA lncRNA:CR45918 long non-coding RNA:CR45918
AAACGAAUGUCGUGUGUGGAAAGGAAAGGGGGGGAUAUGCUCGUAUACUGAUAUGUGUACACAUAUGCGAACGUGAUAACCCAAAGCGGAAACGGAAAUACGAGGAGCGGAAGACGAACAAUGUUGGACUGUGUUUAAAGUAAAUAGUCUGGAUUGAUGAAAGUUGCAUUCGAGAAUUCAUCAACAGGCAUUUACUUCAACUGCAGUUUGAACAAAAUGCAACAGGAAAAUAACGAGUGCGCAGUGAAUUAUUCAGAUUAUCUAUGUAUAAGCUUGUUCCAUUAGAGUUAUGAACUAGUUUAGAGCAGGAAUCGGUGACCUAAUUGAAUAUACCUAUAUAAAUAUGAAUACAUUUUAAUUUUCAUUCUCAUUUGCGAAAUAUUUUCAAUUACUAAAUGCAUUCAGGGCAUUCAAACUGAUUUUCCACACAAAUUAUUCCCAUUUCCACUGAUGCCAUCCGAGAUCAUUUACACCGAUUUCUAUCGUUGACAGUGCGACAGGAGAACGAGCGCAACUUCCGCGAGAAUCUGGAGCGCACCUGGAUGAUGAAGAACCGCACCGAGCUGAAUCUGCAGCGCCAGCAGAUGGAGAUGCAGCAGCAGCACGUCGUUCCAUGAGCGAAAGGAAGGAAGUGACGCCGCUGGAGCAGAUGCGACCGGAUGAGAUGUCAGCACGAGCUGGAAAUGUCAGCGGUUGGCAGCAAGGACAACAAGUUUGUGGCAGGAAGCCGGAGGACCCUUCUGCCCCUCACUUCCUGAACUCCCCCAACUCCCUUCCUGCCCCGCCCAAUCAAAGUUAUGCGCACAAAUGCUACAAAGAAUAACAGAAAGGACGAGAAAUCGAAUCAAAAGAAAUUGUUAACUAAAAAAUAAUUGAGGAUGGAGCACUCCGAAGUGCUCGGCUAAAGCUAAGCCCAAUGCUAAUUGUAGUUAAGUCUGCCCAGGCGGAAAUCACUUGUUUUAUAUCUAACUGAGAGGUAGACUCCACUUAGAGCAAACCAAAUAUAAUUCAAUGGUCGAGAAAAUCAAAAGUGAUGCAGUUUAGUCAAUAGUUAAAGCGUUGUUUAUAGAAUAACUUCGAUGACAUUUUAAAUAUUAGAUCGGCAACGUUCUGGUACUCAAAUUCAAACAACCCAACAGAUUUAAAAUCAAUUGCAAAUGUGUCUAUCAAUAGGCAAUAGUCGUUUUUAUUCCAAGAACCCAAUGUACAAAAGUAGCUUGUACUGCGUUUCACUGCCUAACCCAGGCACACUUGCAAUUGGAUUUAAACAAAAGAAGUAUCGCAUUAUAAUUUAUAAUUUAAAUUUAAUUACUCAGUUUAGAAUUAAUUUGGUGUAGCUUAAUAAGUAUGAAUUCCCCUAUUGAAAUUGAAGUUGUUUACCAGAACCAGCCUGAUUGUCCUGUAAUUAUUGCGUCAAGGAUAUGAUCUACUUGGGGCUGCAGGACGACGCCAAACGGAAGGAGCAAUUAAAAGGUUUCGAUUGUUCAGUUGAUUAGCGAAAUGGUUUCAAUUUUUCUUCAGCCAAGCUUUUCCUUUGGUUUUCCCACCCGACAAAUACCCUCCUGAAUGGCGUCGACAGGCAGCUGUCGAAGAAAAAGAGGAGAAAAGUUGGUCAAUAGUUACGUCUGAAACUAAGUUGUUAACUGAAAAAGUACUCCUAAGUAAAUGUUAAUAGCAAUAAACAACCGAAAGUUUUUGUAUCUCUUAGACGUUGAAGAUGUUGAAGCGGAGUUGGAAGAAAAGCGCAAGCAUAAGUAUCAAGUAUUCCACGAUAGAUUUUGAGUAAAACUACAAUUCAUAGGUUAACAAUAAUUGUAAAGGAGCAAGGAAACAUUCAAUAGAAUUACUCGAACUUCGAAGUCAACUUGUGCCAAUGAAAAAAGCCUACAAAAUCCUAAUGAGAACCUGCAAUAAAUGUGGCGUAGCGUAACUUAAUAAACAAUUAAAUAACAAAUGCGCGGAGAAGUUAGAUAUUUAGCGGAUCGAUGUGAAACUGUUACUUAAGUGCAAAACGAGCUUGUUGUCGAAUUAAUUUUUAAACGGAUUAAACUAAGUGAAUCUAAGCUAAAUGUUAAAUGUUUUUUUAGGUGUUCAAUGUUACAAUUAUUUGUGGUCGAGCAUCCGACGAGGAAGAAUUGAUUGCCCAGCCUUCACCAAAUGAAUAAGUUUAUAAACCUGUGCUAACUCAGUUGCAAGUCAAACGACAAAUUUAGCUUGAAGCAAACUUCUAUCGGUUUCAGCCAACAGAGCGUUGCAGGCUUGAAAGCAAAGUUGAGAACGAACUUCCCUGACCGCCCAUCUUUUAGCCCAGUUACCAAUUAGCCGGAUAUGUAUUUAUCAACCUAAAUGUUUCCCAAUACUCGCCAGCCCGAUUGCACAAAGGUAAUUUAAUAGGUUUUUGGUCUCUGGCGUUAAAUUAAUGUGAGAUUCAAAGAUACUUUGUAGCCACAAAACAAAUUUACAUGCAUAAACAUCACAUGAAAACAAAGAGAAAAAUAACAAAGUGCAUGAUUUUAGGAAAUAUCUUAAAAACAAACAAAUUUUUGUUUUUCCAUUCAAAACUGAUACGGUUAACUCUUAACUAAAAACUGGCUAAAUUAUUUGCAAUAAAUAUCUGAUUUAAGAGCACAUGUUUCAGGUAAAUUACGUGAUUUUAUAGUUGGACAGUUUCAGCUUUUCCUUACAAUUAGUUUUCUCUGUAUACGAAUUUAUUUGUUUUUAAGCCAUUUGGCGAGCAGGGAAGCGGAAUUUCAAUGGCGGGCAGGGCGAAAACAAAUGGAAAGCUUUAAAUUAGCUCAAUAAAUUGUAAACUUAAACAUUUAAUCUACUUAGAGCGGGUCGUUGUUAAAUGCAAUGCAAGUACAUCUGGGACAAAGAAUCACACACCUCAUUCAGAUUUGUAAGAUACG